rnacentral:rRNA from 1 species
GAUUUCUGGUUUGGCGCAUUUGGCCCGCCUCGGUUUACGGGGUUGUGUGCCGGUUUGCGCCUUCCAUCCUUCACAUGAACGAUUCUACCCUUCACUGGGUUGGAGUCGCUGAUUGUGAUCUUUUACUUUGAAAAAAUUAGAGUGUUUAAAGCAGGCUUUUGCUAUGAAUACAUUAGCAUGGAAUAAUAAUCUAGGACUUCGGUUCUAUUUUGUUGGUUUCUAUAACUGAAGUAAUGAUUGAUAGGGAUAGUUGGGGGUGCUAGUAUUGGCCGGCCAGAGGUGAAAUUCUUGGAUUCGGUCAAGACUAACUUAUGCGAAAGCAUU